CCCCAACCUGGACCCCAUCCAAUAGGCUCGUGGUCCCUGAUGGUCCUGGACCACUGAUUUGAGGCCUUUCUGCUUCCUUUGAUUCAGUCUUUGGCAGAGACCCAGGAGCAGGAGUCCUUGAUGGCACCUGGCCCUUUCUAGUCACCGACAAGGGAAACCUGAGAAACCAUUCUCAGAAAUGGAACUAAAUUGACACAGCAUUUGUCUCCUCCAGAGGAUACAGCACCAAGGCGCCAUCUUGGAAGUAGACUGGAGCUCUUAGCAGACCAGAACCUGUGGGCAUAUUAUGAAUAUUCAGUGAAACAACGUGUGUGCUCACCAGGCAGGAAGAGCUCAGCAAAUGGUGGCUGGUCUGGAAAUUAUUGUCAUCACUAUAAUCCUCAUCGACAUCCUCAGCCUUAUUGUCAUCAUCAUCAACCUCAUCAGUGUCAUCAUCAGCCUCAUCAACGUCAUCAUCAGCCUCAUCACUGUCAUCAUCAGCCCUUUGUCAUCAUCAUCAUCCACCUUGCUGUUCUCUUCCUUGUUGACAUCAUUAUCCUCAUCCUCCUCAUCACCAUCAACAGCAUUAUUUUUAUUUUUUAUUCUUCCACCUGUAAGAGUUUCUUUUCCUCCCUCUUAUUGUUUUCCUCUUGGGAUGACUAGUGGUGAAGGAAGUGUCAGAGGCAAUGACCUCACAGCUGUCGUUGCCAUGGGUGACACCUCCCAGAAAGAGCUUAUUGGAACUUUCAGUCCAGGGGAGUUUCUGCUGUUCCAGGAUGGAGGAAAUGUUCAAGAACUGUGGAGCAUCUGAGAUUUUUUUCCUACUUUUGAUGUCCACCUAGUCAAAGUUCAGCCCUCCAGGAUCUACAGGUGACCAAGAGCCUGCUGUCUGGUUAUGGAAGGUCUCAGCUUUGGUUGUGUCAGUGAAUGAAGACCAGGACAGUCACAGUUGUAUGAGGAGGCUGGGGGCAUCCCUUACAGUCCCUUUGAGGGAGGUGCAGUCCUUGUAGCUGGAUGACCAUAGAGAACCAGCUUCUCUGCUGAACCAG
rnacentral:lncRNA from 1 species